UACGGGAGGCAGCAGUGGGGAAUAUUGCACAAUGGGCGCAAGCCUGAUGCAGCCAUGCCGCGUGUAUGAAAAAGGCCUUCGGGUUGUAAAGUACUUUCAGUCGUGAGGAAGGUGUUAAGGUUAAUAACCUUAGCAAUUGACGUUAGCGACAGAAGAAGCACCGGCUAACUCCGUGCCAGCAGCCGCGGUAAUACGGAGGGUGCGAGCGUUAAUCGGAAUUACUGGGCGUAAAGGGCACGCAGGCGGUUAAUUAAGUUGGAUGUGAAAUCCCCGGGCGUUAACCUGGGAAUGGCAUUCAAGACUGGUUAGCUAGAGUCUUGUAGAGGGGGUAGAAUUCCAUGUGUAGCGGUGAAAUGCGUAGAGAUGUGGAGGAAAUACCGGUGGCGAAGGCGGCCCCUGGACAAAGACUGACGCUCAUGUGCGAAAGCGUGGGGAGCAAACAGGGAUUAGAUACC
rnacentral:rRNA from 1 species